rnacentral:rRNA from 1 species
GACGAACGCUGGCGGCGUGCUUAACACAUGCAAGUCGAACGGAAAAGCCCUGCUUUUGUGGGGUGCUCGAGUGGCGAACGGGUGAGUAACACGUGAGUAGCCUGCCCUUGACUUUGGGAUAACUUCAGGAAACUGGGGCUAAUACCGGAUAGGAGCUCCUGCUGCAUGGUGGGGGUUGGAAAGUUUCGGCGGUUGGGGAUGGACUCGCGGCUUAUCAGCUUGUUGGUGGGGUAGUGGCUUACCAAGGCUUUGACGGGUAGCCGGCCUGAGAGGGUGACCGGCCACAUUGGGACUGAGAUACGGCCCAGACUCCUACGGGAGGCAGCAGUGGGGAAUAUUGCACAAUGGGCGGAAGCCUGAUGCAGCAACGCCGCGUGCGGGAUGACGGCCUUCGGGUUGUAAACCGCUUUCGCCUGUGACGAAGCGUGAGUGACGGUAAUGGGUAAAGAAGCACCGGCUAACUACGUG